CCCAAAGAAUGGAAUGCCUCUCUACC
rnacentral:piRNA from 1 species